UGUCCAGUAGCACCUUAUAGACCAACUAAGUUUGUUCUGGUAUAAGCUUUCGUGUGCGUGCGCUUAUACCAGAACAAACUUAGUUGGUCUAUAAGGUGCUACUGGACA